rnacentral:rRNA from 1 species
AUUGAACGCUGGCGGCAUGCCUUACACAUGCAAGUCGAACGGUAGAGUAGCAAUACUUGAGAGUGGCGAACGGGUGAGUAAUAUAUCGGAACGUGCCCAGUCGUGGGGGAUAACGUAGCGAAAGUUACGCUAAUACCGCAUACGAUCUAAGGAUGAAAGCGGGGGAUCGCAAGACCUCGCGCGAUUGGAGCGGCCGAUAUCAGAUUAGGUAGUUGGUGAGGUAAAAGGCUCACCAAGCCAACGAUCUGUAGCUGGUCUGAGAGGACGACCAGCCACACUGGAACUGAGACACGGUCCAGACUCCUACGGGAGGCAGCAGUGGGGAAUUUUGGACAAUGGACGCAAGUCUGAUCCAGCAAUGCCGCGUGCAGGAUGAAGGCCU